CCAAUAGGAUCACAGCAAUGGGGACCCCUAUAGGGACCCCUAUAAGGAUAUGGGGUUGGGACCCCCCCUUAAAGCCCCCAUAGGGAGAUGGAGGUGUGGACCCCCCCCCAUAAUUGGAUCCCUAUAGGAACACAGGGAUCUGACCCCCCCCAAUAGGAUCACAGGAAUGGGGACCCCCUUAAAGACCCCAUAAGGAUAUGGGGUUGGGACCCCCCCUUAUAAAGCCCCAUAGGGAUAUGAGUGUGUGGACCCCCCCUUUAGAGACCCCCAUUGGGACCCCCCCCAUAAUUUCACCCCUAUAGGAACUCAGGGAUCUGACCCCCCCCCCAAUAGGGUCAUAUGAAUGGGGCCCCCCUAUAGGGACCCCUAUAAGGAUAUGGGGUUGGGACCCCCCCUUAAAGCCCCCAUAGGGAGAUGGAGGUGUGGACCCCCCCCCAUAAUUGGACCCCUAUAGGGACCCCAUUGAGUCCCACCCCCCCCUUACAAUCCCAUAUAGAGAUAUGGGGUUGCAGCCCCCCCCAUAGGGACCCCCAUAGGGCCGUGGGGGGGGGUGAGGACCCCCCCCAAAUGGGGUCUGUGGGGUGGGGGCUCACAGCUCUGCUUUCUCUUUGUAGGGUCUGCCAAUGGACGGCAACGAAGACGAGAGGUGUGGGGCUGCCCCAUAGCGAUGUGUGGCACUGCCCCAUAGGGUGCUCUGCCCCAUAGCGAUGUGUGGGGCUGCCCCAUAGCGUGCUGUGCUCCACAGCGACAUGUGGGGCUGCCCCAUAGAGUGCCCCAUAGCGACGUGUGGGACUGCCCCAUGGAGUGCUCUGCCCCAUAGCGACGUGUGGGGCUGCCCCAUAGCGUGCCCUGCCCCAUAGCGAUGUGCGGGGCUGCCCCAUAGAGUGCCCCAUAGAGCGCUGUGCCCCAUAGCGAUGUGUGGGACUGCCCCAUGGAGUGCUCUGCCCCAUAGCGACGUGUGGGACUGCCCCAUGGAGUGCUCUGCCCCAUAGCGACGUGUGGGACUGCCCCAUGGAGUGCUCUGCCCCAUAGCGACGUGUGGGGCUGCCCCAUAGCGUGCUCUGCCCCAUAGCGACGUGUGGGGCUGCCCCAUAGCGUGCUCUGCCCCAUAGUGACGUGUGGGGCUGCCCCAUAGAGUGCUGUGCCCCAAAGCGAUGUGUGGGGCUGCCCCAUAGGGUGCUGUGCCCUAUAGAGAUGUGUGGGGCUGCCCCAUAGAGCACUGUGCCCCAUAGUGACAUAUGGGGCUGCCCCAUAGAGCACUGUGCCCCAUAGCGACGUGUGGGGCUGCCCCAUAGCGUGCUGUGCCCCAUAGCAACGUGUGGGGCUGCCCCAUAGUGUGCUCUGCCCAAUAGCGAUGCGUGGGGCUGCCCCGUAGAGUGCUGUGCCCCAUAGAGUGCUCUGCCCCAUAGCGUGCUGUGCCCCAUAGCGACGUGUGGGGCUGCCCCAUAGAGCGCUGUGCCCCAUAGCCACGUGUGGGGCUGCCCCAUAGCGUGCUCUGCCCCAUAGCAACGUGUGGCGCUGCCCCAUAGAGUGCUCUGCCCCAUAGAGCGCUGUGCCCCACAGCGACGUGUGGGGCUGCCCCAUAGCGUGCUGUGCCCCACAGCGUGCUCUGCCCCAUAGAGCGCUGUGCCCCAUAGCAACGUGUGGGGCUGCCCCAUAGCGUGCUGUGCCCCAUAGCGAUGUGUGGGGCCACCCCAUAGAGCACUCUGCCCCAUAGCGACGUGUGGGGCUGCCCCAUAGCGUGCUGUGCCCCAUAGCGACGUGUGGGGCCGCCCCAUAGAGCACUCUGCCCCAUAGCGACGUGUGGGGCUGCCCCAUAGAGUGCUGUGCCCCAUAGCGACGUGUGGGGCUGCCCCAUAGAGCGCUGUGCCCCGUAACGAUGUGUGGGGCUGCCCCAUAGAGCGCUGUGCCCCGUAACGAUGUGUGGGGCUGCCCCAUAGAGCGCUGUGCCCCGUAACGAUGUGUGGGGCUGCCCCAUAGAGCGCUGUGCCCCAUAAUGAUGUGUGGGGCUGCCCCAUAGCGAUGUGUGGGGCUGCCCCAUAGAGCGCUGUGCCCCACAGCGCCCCACAACAUUCAAUGGAUCCCCAAAUAAAGGCGUUUCUCCC
ensembl:lncRNA